ACGCGCGUAUCCGAAAGACUCUCGGCAACGGAUAUCUCGGCUCUUGCAUCGAUGAAGAACGUAGCGAAAUGCGAUACUUGGUGUGAAUUGCAGAAUCCCGUGAACCAUCGAGUCUUUGAACGCAAGUUGCGCCCGAAGCCAUUAGGCUGAGGGCACGCC
rnacentral:rRNA from 2 species